UAUUCAUCCCAUGCGGGAAGGAUGAGAAGCUUCGACUAAGGUUCGAUUCGAGCGAAGCGAGAAAGCGUUGCCGCAGGCAACGACCCGAAGGGCGAGGCACAACGCGCCGAGUAAUCCUUCCCCCACCACCA
rnacentral:sRNA from 1 species